rfam:Schistosoma margrebowiei strain Zambia genome assembly, scaffold: SMRZ_contig0005777
AUCCAGCCGAAGAGUCCCAAAUAGGACGAAACGCGCGUCCUGGAU